rnacentral:rRNA from 1 species
UACGAAGGGGGCUAGCGUUGCUCGGAAUCACUGGGCGUAAAGCGCACGUAGGCGGAUUGCUAAGUCAGGUGUGAAAUCCUGGAGCUCAACUCCAGAACUGCCUUUGAUACUGGCGAUCUCGAGUCCGGGAGAGGUGAGUGGAACUGCGAGUGUAGAGGUGAAAUUCGUAGAUAUUCGCAAGAACACCAGUGGCGAAGGCGGCUCACUGGCCCGGUACUGACGCUGAGGCGCGAAAGCGUGGGGAGCAAACAGG